rnacentral:lncRNA from 1 species
ACAACUAACUCAGCAAUGGUGGGCGCCCCUCCCCCAGCCUCGCUGCUGCCUUGCAGUUUGAUCUCGGACUGCUGUGCUAGCAAUGAGCGAGACUCCGUGGGCAUGGGACCCUCCGAGCCAGGUGCGAGAUAUAAUCUCCUGGUGUGCCUUGUUUUAAGCCCAUUGGAAAAGCACAGUAUUAGAGUGGGAGAGACCUGAUUUUCCAGGUGCCGUCUCUCACCCCUUUCUUUGACUAGGAAAGGGAAUUCCCUGACCCCUUGCACUUCCUGGGUGAGGCGAUGCCUCGCCUUGCUUUGGCUCGUGCACGGUGCACUGCACCCACUGACCUGCGCCUACUGUCUGGCACUCCCCAGCGAGAUGAACCUGGUACCUCAGUUGGAAAUGCAGAAAUCACCCGUUUUCUGCCUCACUCACGCUGGGAGCUGUAGACCGGAGCUGUUCCUAUUCGGCCAUCUUGGCUUCUCUCUGAGCUAAUACUUUUAAAAUAUUUUGCACUCCACAGAGGAAGGUUUUAUAUGUAAGUCUGAGUUUUGUUUUUCUGAGUUGUUUUCAGUUGGUCCAUGUGAUUACAUUUUUAUACAUGGUAAAAAUUUAUAUAUUUUUUUCCAAGUCUUUUUCUUUUUCUUUUCUUUUCUUUUUUCUUUUUAUUUUUGAGACGGAGUUUUGUUCUUGUUGUCCAGGAUGGAGUGCAAUGGCAUGAUCUCAGCUCACCGCAACCUCUGCCUCCCGGAUUCAAGUGAUUCUCCUGCCUCAGCCUCUUGAGUAGCUGGGAUUACAGGUUGCUGCAGAAGUCAAGAGCUAACCAAGAAGACAAGGAAUGUAACAUAUUUA